rnacentral:rRNA from 1 species
UACAGAGGGUGCGAGCGUUGUCCGGAAUCACUGGGCGUAAAGGGCGCGUAGGCGGCUCGGUCAGCGGUGCCGGUGAAAGCCCGGGGCGUCAACCCCGGGUCGGCCGUGCGAACUGGCUGGGCUGGAGCACUGUAGGAGGCAGGUGGAAUUCCGGGUGUAGCGGUGGAAUGCGUAGAGAGUCCGGAAGAACACCGGUGGCGAAGGGCGGCCUGCUGGGCAGUAGCUGGACGCUGAGGUGCGAAAGCGUGGGGAGCAAACAGGG